rnacentral:pre_miRNA from 1 species
CACUGAUGGGCCUGAAUCGUUGCUCGAACCUGUAUUAAUGACCAGGUGAGCAAACUUUCAGGUGUGUUAGUGC